UUGUCAACCAUCAGAUCAUGCUUAAUCUAACGUUUCACAGCUCACAUCUCACACCCACACUUUGAUUGCAGAAAAUCAUUCUUGCUCGCACGCGUUUUCGCAAUCAACUGCUCCGACGUGACUUUGCUUGCCCUGACCCUUGCUCCGAUGUCGUUUUCCGGCAAGGUCACGGCGACUCAACUGCUCCGACUUGAUUCCUCCGACGUUGCUCUCUUGCUCGCGCUGGAACUUGCUCCGACGUGGUUUUCCGGCUAGAUCACGGCGUUACUCAACUGCUCCGACGUUCCUCCGACUCAAUUGCUCCGACAUUUCUCUCUUGCUCGCGCUUACGCUAGCUCCGACGUGGUUUUCCGGCUAGGUCACGGCCUGAUUUCACUGGCAUUCACCCUUGCUCGCUACUCCGCUUUUGAUUCUUACCACAACUGCUCCGACUCAAUUCCUCCGGCGUUGCUCUCUUGCUCGCGUUCGAACUUGCUUCGACGUGGUUUUCCGGCUAGGUGAUGGCGUGACUCAACUUCUCCGACUCAAUUGCUCCGACUCAAUUAGGUCACGGCCUGAUUUCACCGGCAUUUACCCUUUCUCGCCGCGGCCUGAUUUCACCGGCAUUUACCCUUUCU
rnacentral:lncRNA from 1 species